UCCCCAGACUCCUACGGGAGGCAGCAGUAGGGAAUCUUUCACAAUGGGCGAAAGCCUGAUGGAGCAACGCCGCGUGAAGGAAGAAGGCUUUCGGGUUGUAAACUUCUUUUAAGAGGGAAGAGUAGAAGACGGUACCUCUUGAAUAAGCCACGGCUAACUACGUGCCAGCAGCCGCGGUAAUACGUAGGUGGCAAGCGUUGUCCGGAUUUACUGGGUGUAAAGGGCGUGUAGCCGGGUUGACAAGUCAGAUGUGAAAUCCUGCGGCUUAACCGCAGAACUGCAUUUGAAACUGUUGAUCUUGAGUACUGGAGAGGCAGACGGAAUUCCUAGUGUAGCGGUGAAAUGCGUAGAUAUUAGGAGGAACACCAGUGGCGAAGGCGGUCUGCUGGACAGCAACUGACGGUGAGGCGCGAAAGCGUGGGGGGCAAACAGGAUUAGAUACCCCCGUA
rnacentral:rRNA from 1 species